UACACUUCAAAGCUCCUGGAUUUGUUUAAAAUGAAGGCGAGUUGAAGAUAAGAGAGAUGCUGUGAUUCGGUGCUUGGCUUCCUAUCUGGGAGAAUCAUCUGAGGAGCUCAUUGAAGCCUACCAGGAUGUCAGAAGAGACAUGAUUGAAGAUAGCUUCACCAAUCAUGUAAUGAAGAUUGUUGUACUGGGCAGCACCGCAGGAUAGGAAGAUGCCAACAUAGCUGAUGUCAUCAUCGUCAUUGAGGGAACUGCGGUACUGUCGGGAUGCAAGAAUCUUACAAAUGCCUGCCUUCUGCUCAUGGGCUUCAUUUACUCCCUGAACUUAAGCUAUAAUUCAAAGCUAAGAAACACAUUUGAAGUGUUUCAGAAAAUCUUUCUUGGACUGGA